AUUGAACGCUGGCGGCAGGCCUAACACAUGCAAGUCGAACGAGUGGCGGACGGGUGAGUAAUGUCUGGGAAACUGCCUGCUGGAGGGGGAUAACUACUGGAAACGGUAGCUAAUACCGCAUACCAUCAGAUGUGCCCAGAUGGGAUUAGCUUGUUGGUGGGGUAACGGCUCACCAAGGCGACGAGCCCUAGCUGGUCGGAGAGGAUGACCAGCCAGACGGGAACUGCGACACGGUCCAGAUGCCUACGGGAGGCAGCAGUGGGGAAGAUUGCACAAGGGGCGCAAGCCGGAUGCAGCCAUGCCGCGUGGAUGAAGAAGGCCGUCGGGUUGUAAAGUACUUUCAGCGGGGAGGCGUUACCCGCAGAAGAAGCACCGGCUAACGCCGUGCCAGCAGCCGCGGUAAUAC
rnacentral:rRNA from 1 species